rnacentral:lncRNA from 1 species
UGAGGGGGGAUAGGAGGGGUCCUGAUCCCAAAAUCCCGGGCUUAAAAACACGAGAUCCCGAAAUCCCGGGCUUAAAAAACAUGAAAUCCCGAGGUCCCGAAAUUUGAAAAAAGAAUUCCCGGAUCCCAAAAGGGUCAAUCCCGAAAUCCCGAGCUUAAAAACACCCGAUCCCGGAGUCCCGAUAAAGGUCCUAUCCCCCCUCA